AAGUCGUAACAAGGUUUCCGUAGGUGAACCUGCGGAAGGAUCAUUAUUGAAUACGCUGGUCUCUGAUGCUGGCCCUUCACUGGGCAUGUGCUCGAGCCAACUAUUUAUCUUCUCUUGUGCACCUUUUGUAGUCUUUUGAAAAUAGAAGUGAACCCUCGCAGCAAUGCGGUCUGGGGGACUGGGCCUUACCCGCUCUUCCCCUGCUUGCUUCUUCGCAGCGUCUGCGUAACCUGCUCGCGCCCCUGUGUUUCAAAAGGCUAUGUUUUAACAUACACUAUAAAGUUACAGAAUGUCUUUUAAAGGCUGCUUGCAGUCAUUAAACCUAUACAACUUUCAGCAACGGAUCUCUUGGCUCUCCCAUCGAUGAAGAACGCAGCGAAAUGCGAUAAGUAAUGUGAAUUGCAGAAUUCAGUGAAUCAUCGAAUCUUUGAACGCACCUUGCGCCCUUUGGUAUUCCGAAGGGCAUGCCUGUUUGAGUGUCAUUAAAUUAUCAACCUUGCUUGCUUUUACUAGCUCGCUUGGCUUGGAUGUGGGGGUUUGCUGGCUUCCUUCAGUGGAUGGUCUGCUCCCCUUAAAUGCAUUAGUGGGAUCUCUUGUGGACCGUCACUUGGUGUGAUAAUUAUCUAUGCCAUAUGACUUUGAAGCAAAUUUUAUGAGAACCUGCUUAUAACCGUCUCUCGCAGCAAUGCGGAUUGGGGGUCUGAGUCCUUUUAUUUGGGGCACUUCCCUUGUCGGACAGCUUUUUUAACAUUUUGACC
rnacentral:rRNA from 1 species